UUGCACAAUGCUAACCAUGGGCUUGUCGGAUGGAUCUCGGUCUCUUGUGAUGAAGGAAAGCCCCAAGGUUGUGCUAGAUCUACACCGUCGUUCAGUGCUGCAGGCCAUGACACUACACAUGGAUGAGUGGCCUGUGUCAGAGUAAUGGAUACACUC
rfam:Triticum aestivum genome assembly, contig: Triticum_aestivum_CS42_TGACv1_scaffold_580313_7BL